AUGAACGCGCCCAGCUCGUGGCUGUUCGCGGACAACUCCAAGUACAGCACCCGCGCGCGGCUGAUCUUCAUGGGCCUCUCCUUCGCCAUCGGCAUCCUCACCUUCCUCGUCUACCUCGCCAUCUGGUACACCUGCAGCCGGCGCGGCCGCCGCAGCCGCGACGCCGGCGCGGGCGCGGGGGACCUCGAGGCCGGCCUCGCCGCGGCCGCGGCCGAGCGCGGCAUGAGCGACGCCGCGAUCGCCGCGCUCCCGACCUUCUUGUACGAGGAGGCUGACGACGUGGACUGCGCGGUGUGCCUCGGGCAGCUGGAGGCCGGCGAGAAGGCGCGGCGGCUCCCCAAGUGCGCGCAUUUGUUCCACGCCGAGUGCGUCGAUGCCUGGCUGCGCGCGCACUGCACCUGCCCCAUGUGCCGCGCCCCCGUCGGCCCCGCCGCCGCCACCUCCUCCAAGAAGGACGGCACCGCUGACACCCCCACCCCGGCGCCGGCGCCGGCGACGACAGCGACGGCGGAGGCGCUGCCGCUGCCACCAGUCUAG
rnacentral:rRNA from 1 species